rnacentral:ncRNA from 1 species
UGGCUUGAGUGAUACUGUGCAAACCUACCGCACUUGCCCCAACUGGGAAAGGCACUGUCCAUGUUUUUCUGCCCCCUAACUAUGCGUGAACUCCACUCCGCCUACCACGAAGAUGCUUAUUGACGCGGAUGGCCUGUGGCAAACUGUGAAAGCAUGGCCCUUAUAUCCAUUAGGUUUGAUAAAUGUUAAGCUAGAGGUGUCAGAAGCGUUUCGAGCGACAACUGGCUCUGGGCAAACAAGCGUUCAUAGCAAUGCUGCUUUUUGAUUCUUCGAUGUAG